UACGAAGGGGGCUAGCGUUGCUCGGAAUCACUGGGCGUAAAGGGCGCGUAGGCGGCCAUUUAAAGGUCGGGGGUGAAACGCCUGUGGCUCAACCACAGCAAUUGCCUUCGAUACUGGAUGGCUUGAGUUCGGUAGAGGUUGGUGGAACUGCGAGUGUAGAGGUGAAAUUCGUAGAUAUUCGCAAGAACACCGGUGGCGAAGGCGGCCAACUGGACCGACAGCUGACGCGAAGGCGCGAAAGCGUGGGGAGCAAACAG
rnacentral:rRNA from 1 species